rnacentral:rRNA from 1 species
GGAAAGGCCAAUCAAACCGGGAGAUAGCUGGUUCUCCCCGAAAUCUAUUUAGGUAGAGCCUUGAGCGGACACCUUCGGGGGUAGAGCACUGUUUCGGCUAGGGGUCCAUCCCGGAUUACCAACCCGAUGCAAACUACGAAUACCGAAGAGUGAUACUCAGGAGACACACGGCGGGUGCUAACGUCCGUCGUGGAGAGGGAAACAACCCAGACCGCCAGCUAAGGUCCCAAAGUCUAUAUUAAGUGGGAAACGAAGUGGGAAGGCUUAGACAGCUAGGAUGUUGGCUUAGAAGCAGCCAUCAUUUAAAGAAAGCGUAAUAGCUCACUAGUCGAGUCGGCCUGCGCGGAAGAUGUAACGGGGCUCAAAUAUAGCACCGAAGCUGCGGCAUCAGACGAAAGUCUGUUGGGUAGGGGAGCGUUCUGUAAGCGGAUGAAGGUGGCUCGAGAGGUUUGCUGGACGUAUCAGAAGUGCGAAUGCUGACAUAAGUAACGAUAAAACGGGUGAAAAACCCGUUCGCCGGAAGACCAAGGGUUCCUGUCCAACGUUAAUCGGGGCAGGGUGAGUCGGCCCCUAAGGCGAGGCUGAAAAGCGUAGUCGAUGGGAAACGGGUUAAUAUUCCCGUACUUGGAUAAACUGCGAUGUGGGGACGGAGCAGGUUAGGUUAUCGCACUGUUGGAUAUGUGCGUUUAAGUUGGUAGGUGUGAAGUUUAGGCAAAUCCGGACUUCUAUAACACCGAGAGAUGAUGACGAGGCUCUACGGAGCUGAAGUAACCGAUACCACACUUCCAGGAAAAGCCACUAAGCUUCAGGUUUAUCUAAACCGUACUGAAAACCGACACAGGUGGUCAGGUAGAGAAUACUCAGGCGCUUGAGAGAACUCGGGUGAAGGAACUAGGCAAAAUAGCACCGUAACUUCGGGAGAAGGUGCGCCGGCGUAGAUUGUAGUCCCUAGCGGGCGAAGGUUGAACCGGUCGAAGAUACCAGCUGGCUGCAACUGUUUAUUAAAAACACAGCACUCUGCAAACACGAAAGUGGACGUAUAGGGUGUGAUGCCUGCCCGGUGCUGGAAGGUUAAUUGAUGGUGUAAUCGAAAGAGAAGCUCCUGAUCGAAGCCCCAGUAAACGGCGGCCGUAACUAUAACGGUCCUAAGGUAGCGAAAUUCCUUGUCGGGUAAGUUCCGACCUGCACGAAUGGCAUAAUGAUGGCCAGGCUGUCUCCACCCGAGACUCAGUGAAAUUGAAAUCGCCGUGAAGAUGCGGUGUACCCGCGGCUAGACGGAAAGACCCCGUGAACCUUUACUAUAGCUUGACACUGAACAUUGAAUUUUGAUGUGUAGGAUAGGUGGGAGACUUUGAAGUAGUCACGCCAGUGAUUAUGGAGUCGUCCUUGAAAUACCACCCUGAUUUAACGUUUGAUGUUCUAACGAAGAUUACGAAACGUGGUCUCGGACAGUGUCUGGUGGGUAGUUUGACUGGGGCGGUCUCCUCCCAAAGAGUAACGGAGGAGCACGAAGGUUUGCUAAUGACGGUCGGACAUCGUCAGGUUAGUGCAAUGGUAUAAGCAAGCUUAACUGCGAGACAGACAAGUCGAGCAGGUACGAAAGUAGGUCAUAGUGAUCCGGUGGUUCUGAAUGGAAGGGCCAUCGCU